AACGAACGCUGGCGGCAUGCCUAACACAUGCAAGUCGAACGAGACCUUCGGGUCUAGUGGCGCACGGGUGCGUAACGCGUGGGAACCUUCCCUUAGGUUCGGAAUAACUCAGAGAAAUUUGAGCUAAUACCGGAUAAUGUCUUCGGACCAAAGAUUUAUCGCCUUUGGAUGGGCCCGCGUAGGAUUAGCUUGUUGGUGGGGUAAUGGCCUACCAAGGCGACGAUCCUUAGCUGGUCUGAGAGGAUGAUCAGCCACACUGGGACUGAGACACGGCCCAGACUCCUACGGGAGGCAGCAGUGGGGAAUAUUGGACAAUGGGCGAAAGCCUGAUCCAGCAAUGCCGCGUGAGUGAUGAAGGCCUUAGGGUUGUAAAGCUCUUUUAACAGGGAUGAUAAUGACAGUACCUGGAGAAUAAGCUCCGGCUAACUCCGUG
rnacentral:rRNA from 1 species